UUGGCUUGUUACCGGUGGUCGGCUGUGCACAACUUUCAUCUGACAUGCCUAUUUGUUCGUCUGGUAAGGCUUUGAUUGCUUGAACAAAUUGCGGGUUUCUUGUGUUGCUUGCCUAACAAACGGUAUUGAUUUGGCUUAUYUAAGUUUUGUACGUCGUUUGUCAUGUGUAUGACAUUAGAUGAACCCUAAACAUGUCUUUUUAAACCACAUCAUUAACGCUUGAGUUGAUGUAGUGGCGCAUUGAGCCUUGCGUGGUCUCUUUGAUGUAGUGCUUGAUGUGGGCAUGGGUCUGUUGUGAUCCUUGUUAUGUCCCUCAUUAGUGUUUACGCUUCGUNNNAUGACUGCUUGACNCGCGUUGGCUCGUNNNAGUGUGUUGGGCUUUGUCKNNNAGGNNUGUKACCUGGU
rnacentral:misc_RNA from 1 species